UGAAAUUACUAUUUUUUUACAAUGCUUUUAUAAUAGUUUCCCCCGUUUUAAUACGCUAGUUGCUUCUUUAUGGCCCACCACAUUGUUAUUACUCUAAAAAAUAGAUUAAAUUUAUAUGUUGUACUGAAGUCUCUUUCUUUCCGGAUGAAUGCUCCCCCACAGAGCUGUCUUUUCAACAAAAAUUGACUACACGUUCAGGGAACCAAAAUGAAAAAAUUAUUAUUUUUAAUGACCAAAAUAAAUUAAUAACAUCCAUUGCGUUUUAUUUUUUAUUGCUGUGAUUUUCACUCGUCCAUGGCCCAGUGAUUUCAAUGAUCCAGGAUUCCUUUGUUUGUUGUACUUGAUAUUUUAUUUAUUAUUAAUCAAUCUAGUUACAUUCAUUUUAGUGUACGAAGAACAUGUAGAUCCUUCUAGUGAAAAUGAUGAGUUCGGUGUAACAUUUGAUAUAUGCGUAAUAGUACGGCAUUUAUUACUUUUAAUUGGUGUAUAUCUUUAUAAAUUUGUCAUUUAUGAUAUUGGAAUAAAAAAAUUAUACAUGGCGUAUAUAUACGAUUUAAAUAAUUUACUGAUAUNUA